AAAUAUAUAUAUUUAGAGAUUUUAUUUAUAAUAAUUAUUAACUACCGAAAAAUGGUUUUCCCGUUUCCCGGUAAAUUAAUUAUAAAAAUUAAUCGCAAUUUAUUUUUAAAAGUUACUUGGUAUAAAUAGCGGUUGGAGGAAAUUUUGGCGCGUCCGGUAUAAAAAUUUCGUUUGCCGAUAUAUAUUCUAAUUGCAUAUAAAAUAUUUUACAUAUUUCAAUAUAUUAUUUUAAUAAUAGUUUCGAACAAAUAUAACUAAUAUAUUAUAUUUCCCGGAAUAGCCAAUUAUUUAUAAUUUAUAAAUUUGGUAUAAUACCGCCGUAAUUAAUAAUUUUCAGUUGGAUAAUUAUAAUCGCCUUUUAUAUUAUAAUGUUUCGAACGCGAUUACCGCGCAAUUCGUUAUUUGCGUGUUCGUUUCGAUUUCCGGCGGAAAACGUUGUUUGUUUUUUUAUAUUACGUUUAAAUAUAUUUUAUAUAAAUUGUUUUUCAAUAAUAUUUCGUUUUAAAAUCGGACCAAAUACGUUUCGGGGAAAAUUUGUAAUUUUGGCGGAAAGACCGCGAGGGUCGCGGAAAUUAUAAUAUUUACCGGCGUUAAAUUUUUAUAAUAUAACCGGACGUAAUACGGUUAUUACACGUAAUAUAUUAUAUUUACUUUUUUUUUUUGCUUCGAUAACGCGUUGAAAAUUUCCGCCAACCGGCCCGGGCCGAAAUAUAAAUUAUAAUUAAAUCUCGAAAAUAUUUUAGCCCAACGUAUUUAUUUUCUCGAAAUGUUUCUGGGGUUGGAAAAAUAUUUUAACGUUUUAUAAUUUAUUAAAAUUAAAAAAAACGUUAAAUAUUACGAAAUUCCAGGUUUUAUAUUUGUAAAUAUAUUAUUACGGCGCAUUAAUUCUUAUUAUAAAUAAUAUAAUUUUGUAAGUAUCGGUUAAUUUGGUUAAAUAAAAGGCAAUUAGACGUUAUAACCCGCCCGUUUUUCUAUAAAAAAUACUUUCCCAAUAGCGUACCGGAAUAAUUUAUUUCCAAUUUUAUAUUUUUCGUCUUAUUUCAUUAAAUAAAUAUUGGGGUUUGGAAAAACACGUAUUUUAACGUUUCGAACGUUUUUUCGAAUUCCGUUAUUUAUCGAAACGGGUUUUAUUUUAAACGUUAAUAACGGGGCCGUUAACGUUAAAUAACGGUUUAUAAAAUUACGGUAGAAAUUCGCGAACCUCAAAAAACCGCGGCAUUUUUAAGAUUUUGUCGGCAUUUCCCAAUUUAAAAUUAUUUUUAUAUUUUCGGGGUCGGUUUGGAUUUUCGCCCCGUUCUAAUAAUAAACCCCGAAUAUUUAAAAAAAGGUUUACCGCGGACACGUUUUUGUCGAAAUCCAAGUUAAAUUCCGCCACCGUUAAUUUAUUAAAUAUUUCGGUUAUUUGCGAUUAAUAAUUGGAUUUGGAACCGGAAAAGUAAAUAAAAAUAUUAUCCAAAUUAUUUAAUAUAUAGUUUUUUACCGUAUUGCUUAAUAUUUUGUUAAUAUAAUAUUGAAAAACUGCGGGCGUUCUGGCGAAUUCAAUUAAAUAUAUUAAUUAUUUAAAUAAU
rnacentral:sRNA from 1 species